rnacentral:lncRNA from 1 species
UGCAAUUUGUUUUCUCCCUUAAUAAUAUAUGAGCAAAAUCUCCAGGAUCUCCACUGAAAUGAAAUGGGAUCUGGCCAGGAAAUACUGAUAAUCAGUCUGCAAGCAUAGGUUUCAUUUCUAUAACUAUUCCAAGACUCCACCAUUAGGGUAAAGCUGAGAUCAGGCCCUUUGUUUAGGUGCAUGUUUUCUCCAGGGUUAUAAAGUCAGACAAAAGAAGGUUUUAAAGUAUUGUAAAUCACAAGAAUGUUACAGAAUGUUAUAGUUGUUCUGCAACAUUGACUGUUUUUCCAGGUUAAAAAAAAGAAAGGGGGACUUUUCUGGCUGGAAAGGUCAUUAGUUAAUUUGAGAUAAGCAAUUUACUAGAAACAAGGACAAAUGUAUUUCUGAGCUGAUUCAUAGGGGAAGGUCAUGGGGAGGACGUGACCCCCAAUUGACUUGUGAGCAGGAUGGAGGCUCCCAACCCCUCCUCUGUCCUUACAGUGUACCAUCCGCCCACCUUUCCCACUGUUUGCAAGGAUGCCUCCUUGUGACAGUGAGAUUGUGUUGAGACCCUACAGAUGAUUGGUGUAUGUGACUGAGCUCUGUUAAGGUCUCCAUAGAAACCUUAAGAUUCUAGCAGCCGGUGGAAAUCUACUUGUCUUGAAGCCCCAAGACCAGCCUGGUGAGUUCCCAUGCUGGUUAAACCUGCCACCUGCCAAUCUGUAGUGUCCCCCGCCCCACUCCACCACCACCACUUCGGUCUCUGCCUGUCCUCCUUGCUCCAGGCCAGUUUCAGAUUUCACUCAGGAAGCUCUGAGAUUUUGAACCAACAGAGGCUACUUGAGGUGGAUAAGGAAAUUACCUUUGCUCAUCCAAAAGUAAUUUGUAAAGAAGUUAUGAUUUUAAAUAUUUUUGGGAGAAGGGACAUCAUGAUGGAUGCAUGUUCCAUGGAAAAUCUUUGGGAUAGGGUUGGUUGGAGAAUAAAUAUAGGUGCAGAUAGACUGAACACCCUGUGUAGCACUCUGGCCAAAUCCUGAAGAGUCUUUUUUAUUUAAAUAAACAAACAAGCAAGAUCA